AGAGUUUGAUCAUGGCUCAGAACGAACACUGGCGGCAUGCUUAACACAUGCAAGUCGAACGGUUUUAUAGGGCUUGCCUUAUAAGAUAGUGGCAGACGGGUGAGUAAUACAUGAGAAUGUACCCUGAAGUAUGGGAUAACUAUUGGAAACGGUAGCUAAUACCAUAUAAUCCGGAGACGGGAAAGAUUUAUCGCUUUAGGAGCAGCUCAUGGACGAUUAGGUAGUUGAUAGGGUAAAGGCCUACCAAGCCGAUGAUCGUUAGCUGGUUUGAGAGGAUGAUCAGCCACACUGGGACUGAGACACGGCCCAGACUCCUACGGGAGGCAGCAGUGGGGAAUAUUGGACAAUGGGGGAAACCCUGAUCCAGCAAUGCCGCGUGAGUGAAGAAGGCCUUCGGGUUGUAAAACUCUUUUGUCUAUGAAGAUGAUGACGGUAGUAGACGAAUAAGCACCGGCUAACUUCGUGCCAGCAGCCGCGGUAAUACGAAGGGUGCUAGCGUUGUUCGGAAUAACUGGGCGUAAAGGGCGUGUAGGCGGCUCUAUGCGUCAGGUGUGAAAUUCCUGGGCUCAACCUGGGGACGGCACUUGAUACGGUAGAGCUAGAGGUUAUGAGAGGAAAGC
rnacentral:rRNA from 1 species